rnacentral:rRNA from 1 species
CCUACGGGUGGCAGCAGUGAGGAAUAUUGGUCAAUGGUCGCGAGCCUGAACCAGCCAAGUAGCGUGAAGGAUGACUGCCCUACGGUUUGUAAACUUCUUUUAUGUGGGAAUAAAAUGUUCCACGUGUGGGAUUUUGUAUGUACCAUAUGAAUAAGGAUCGGCUAACUCCGUUCCAGCAGCCGCGGUAAUACGGAGGAUCCGAGCGUUAUCCGGAUUGAUUGGGUUUAAAGGGAGCGUAGGUGGAUUGUUAAGUCAGUCGUGAAAUGUCGUGGCUCAACCGUAAUAUUGCAGCUGAAACGGGCAGUCGUGAGUACAGGAGAGGUAGGCGGAAUUCGUGGUGUAGCGGUGAAAUGCUUAGAUAUCACGAAGAACUCCGAUUGCGAAGGCAGCUCACUGGACUGCAACUGACACUGAGGCUCGAAAGCGUGGGUAUCAAACAGGAUUAGAUACCCCUGUAGUC